UAGUGUGUGAGCUGAUCAACGGGACUUUUCGUCAGCAGCAUGCAACACGUGUUCGCGAAAAAAAAACGAAAUAGAAAAAACGUCACACGCACACACAAACACAUAGAAACGGAAAUUUCUAAACACUACAAGAGAAAUAAAGGAAAUCCAAACAAUAAACGAACGAAAAGAAAUUACUGCGCAAGUUAGUUACUCAAGUGUGGACAAUACGUAUACGCUUGCCCACGUUCUGGUCAUCUUGUGUCUUGCCCUUGGUGGUGGCGCCACUGCGUUGAUGCAACGCCGUUGCCGUCGCAAUCACAUCCGGCGCCGGUUGUCCCAUGACUCGCAACAGUGGCGUCAACUUUAAGCUGCUGGCAGUUUUGCUGCCACUUUCAGAGGCCUCCUUAUUGCUAUUGCUGCUGCUCUCGACUGCAGGAGGAACAGAGACAGGAAUAGAAGCAGCUGCUGUUGCGGUGGCUGUUGCGGUGGCAACUGCAUUGUUAUUGGCCGGACUUGGACUCGGGCUUUUCUUAUCACAAGCCACAUGAUUUUGGCAAAGAUCUUCAGCAGCAGCAGCUGUUGAGUUUUCGGUGCUGCCACUUGCGUUGUGGGUGCUGCCAACUGCACUUUUUGUGGUGCUGCCAACUGCAGCCGCACCCGCACCUGCACCCGCAUUGUUGCUGCUGUCAUUGGCUGGACGCUGCUCCAGCUUCACAUUGUGCGACAUUAAGGUGGUUAACUGCUCCUGGAAAUAGGGCGUCGGUGUCGUCUUAGUCGAUGUCGUUGUUGUUGUGCUCUCACUCAACGUGCCAGCGGCAAUCGACACAAUGGGCGUAUCCGGUAUUAUCGCUUGGAUCUUUGUCACUAAUGUUGCAAUAUCGUUGUUGUUGUUGUUGCUGUUGCUGUUGCUAGUGCUGCCUGUUGAUUUGACCUUGAUGAGCUGCGCAGUUGUUGCCGCACUGUGAUUGCUGCUGAUGUCCUGAGCUGGUGUUGUCCUGGUGGAUGUUGAUGAUGAUAUAGAUGAAACACCAAUUUGUUCAUUGUUCAUCUUUUGUGGCAUAUAACAAACAACAAAAUGCCAUUCAAAUUACAACGCUUUAAAAACGAAAAAAAAAUAAUAGUGAAAAACAAAUUGAAUAUCUUUCUCUCUCUCUCUUACUUACCAACUACGGCUCCACUUUGUUUGCUUUGCAGAUCCGGAUGUCCUAGGAACAACACAAACAAAAGACAACAACAACAAAAACACAAAAAAAAAAAGACAACAGCUGUCAAGGCCGCCGCGCGGUUUUUACCUCCGCAGCUGCCGCCGCCCAACAGAGGGCGCCUCUGUUGUCCCCACACACUAAGCUCGCUCUUGCUUUGGAUUUGACUUUGGCUCUCUCAACGUUCUUGUUGUUGUUGUUGUCUUCUUCUUUGCGCUCGCCUCCGAGUUGUUGUUGCUGUUCAUGUGUUGAAGCGAAGCUUUGCCCAAAACUGCAGUUUUUGUUGUUGUUGUUGUUGUUGUGUCUGGCGUAAUUUUGGUUGGUUUUUUUUUUGCACUUUUCUACUGUUUAUUUCGCAAUCGUAUAUUGCGGUUUAUUUUUGUUAAUCAAACACACUAAACUCGAAUGAGUUUUUUUUCUUCGCCCACGCACUAUUCUUGUGUUUAAUUGUUGUUGCUGCUGCUCUCGUUGUUGUUGUUGUUGUUGUUUCCUUCUUUUGUUGUUUGUGGUGUUGAGUUUGCUUUUCUCUAUAGUUUUUUGUGUACUGUUCUUUUGCUUUUUCCUUCCUCCUCGUCAAUUGAAUGCAGCCAGCUUAAUUUGCUUUGUCACUAACCAACAACAAAUCCAAAUGGUUCACAUUGCCGAGCUUCUUCCAGUCUACAAUAAUUUAUUGCAAUUGCAAAACGCAAACAACAAGAAUGUAUUGUAAAGCAAAUGCGAAUUGUCGCAAAAACAACAAAAUUAAAGAAAAUUCAUUUUUUUUGCCUUCUGCCAAAGC